rnacentral:rRNA from 1 species
UACGUAGGGACCAAGCGUUGUUCGGAUUUACUGGGCGUAAAGGGCGCGUAGGCGGCAAUUCAAGUCACUUGUGAAAUCUCCGAGCUUAACUCGGAACGGUCAAGUGAUACUGCUUUGCUAGAGUGCAGAAGGGGCAACCGGAAUUCUUGGUGUAGCGGUGAAAUGCGCAGAUAUCAGGAGGAACACCGGUGCGAAGGCGGGUCUCUGGCCGAUACUGACGCUGAGGAGCGAAAGCGUGGGAGCGAACAGG